GUCAUUAAAACCAAGGAGAAACCCUCAAAAUUUGGACUUUUAGGUCAUUAAAAUUGUGGAGAACUCAUGAAAAUUGGGGAGAACCUUCCAAAGUUAUGGAGAACCUUCCAAAGUUAUGGAGAACCUUCCAAAGUUGGGGUUUGGUCAUUAAAACCAAGGAGAACCCUCCAAAGUUGGACUUUUAGGUCUUUAAAAUUGUGGAAAACUCUUUAAAAUUGGGGAGAACCUUCCAAAGUUGGGGUUU
rnacentral:lncRNA from 1 species